GGCAGUGUGGUGCAGUGGUCAGAGCGUCAGGCAGAUGACCUGGGAGACCAGGAUUCGAAUCCCGACUCAGCCA